UACGUAGGUGGCAAGCGUUGUCCGGAAUUACUGGGUGUAAAGGGCGUGUAGGCGGGAAUAUAAGUCAGAUGUGAAAUGCUGGGGCUCAACCCCAGAACUGCAUUUGAAACUAUAUUUCUUGAGUGCAGGAGAGGGAAGCGGAAUUCCUAGUGUAGCGGUGAAAUGCGUAGAUAUUAGGAGGAACACCAGUGGCGAAGGCGGCUUUCUGGACUGUAACUGACGCUGAGGCGCGAAAGCGUGGGGAGCAAACAGG
rnacentral:rRNA from 1 species